AUUGAACGCUGGCGGCAGGCCUAACACAUGCAAGUCGAGCGGAUGAAGGGAGCUUGCUCCUGGAUUCAGCGGCGGACGGGUGAGUAAUGCCUAGGAAUCUGCCUGGUAGUGGGGGAUAACGUCCGGAAACGGGCGCUAAUACCGCAUACGUCCUGAGGGAGAAAGUGGGGGAUCUUCGGACCGCAUGCUAUCAGAUGAGCCUAGGUCGGAUUAGCUAGUUGGUGGGGUAAAGGCCUACCAAGGAGACGAUCCGUAACUGGUCUGAGAGGAUGAUCAGUCACACUGGAACUUGGACACGGUCCAGACUCCUAAGGGAGGCAGCAGUGGGGAAUAUUGGACAAUGGGCGAGAACCUGAUCCAGCCAUGCCGCGUGUGUGACGAAGGUCUUCGGAUUGUAAAGCACUUUAAGUUGGGAGGAAGGGCAGUAAGUUAAUACCUUGCUGUUUUGACGUUACCAACAGAAUAAGCACCGGCUAACUUCGUG
rnacentral:rRNA from 1 species